UACGUAGGGGGCUAGCGUUGUCCGGAAUCAUUGGGCGUAAAGCGCUCGCAGGCGGUCCGAUGCGUCGUGCGUGAAAGACCCCGGCUCAACUGGGGGAGGUCGUGCGAUACGGUCGGACUCGAGGCCAGUAGGGGGAUGCGGAAUUCCGGGUGUAGUGGUGGAAUGCGUAGAGAUCCGGAGGAACACCAGCGGCGAAGGCGGCAUCCUGGACUGGUCCUGACGCUCAGGAGCGAAAGCGUGGGGAGCGAUCCGG
rnacentral:rRNA from 1 species